rnacentral:RNase_P_RNA from 2 species
AAGAGUAGGCGAGCAGUUGCGGAGUUUAUAGUCAAAGACUACUUUGGCUAUAAGCUUUGAGGAAAGUCCGGGCUUCCGCGAAGAUCAGGCUGCUGGGUAACGCCCAGUGCGAGCGAUCGCGAGGAUAGUGCCACAGAAAAAUACCGCCUGUUGUAGAGAUACCACAGGUAAGGGUGCAAAGGUGUGUUAAGAGCGCACCAGCGGAGUCGUGAGGCUCUGGCUCGGUAAACCCCAGUUGGAAGCAAGGCGAGAGGAUUUAGAUCUUGCGAUCUUCAUUUGGGUCUAAAUUCGUUGCUUGGCUUGAGAGUUUAGUGAAAGCUAGCGAUCGCGUCCAAGUGUGUGCCGCAAGAGGUAUUUGGUAACAAAUAUCCCAGAUAGAUAACUGCUACGGUUGUUGAUAAAACUUCCUAAACAGAACCCGGCUUAUGUCCUGCUCUUUCUA